AAGGGCACCACAAGAACGCGUGGAGCAUGUGGCUUAAUUUGACUCAACGCGGGAAAUCUUACCGGGUCCGGACACACUGAGGAUUGACAGGCAAUUAUUGCUAACAGUUUCUUUUUUUUUAAAAGUACUGUUGCAACAACAAAUAUGCUAGUCCUUUCAUGAUUAUGUGAUAGGUGGUGCAUGGCCGUUCUUAGUUCGUGGAGUGAUCUGUCUGCUUAAUUGCGUUUCAUUAUGGACCAUGUUAUAACAUGUACUAUCUCUUGAUUUUCAAAUUUUCAUUUAUUUGAGAUUUGUUAUAAAGAAGGAGUUUUGGUGCAAUUGGUCCUGAAAGCAACGAACGUGACCGCAUCCUCUUGUUGCCUUUUUAACUUGGCAUUUUUUUUAAUUUAUUUUAACAUUUUUGUCAUAACAUAAGAGGCUUUCAGAAAACUAGAGGGACCGCUGCGACUUUUUUAAACCAGAGGAAGGUUGCGGCAAUAACAGGUCUGUGAUGCCCUUAGAUGUUCCGGGCUGCACACGUGCUACAAUGAUUAUUGCAGUGAGCAUCUCAUUUUAUUUUUUGUGCUUGUCUUGUCUGCGAGUUUAUUCUCAACGACGACAGCCCUAGCCUGCUUCGAAAGUUCGCAGGUAAUCAAUUGGAAGUAAUGAUUUCCCUUUCUCUUUUUUUAUUACAUUUAUUUUGUGAUUUCUUUAAUUAAGCGAGCACACAAUAUGCUGCUCUCUCGCCCUGUCUUUUGUGAGCCUKGUAUUUCUUUUUUUAGUUUAUACAUCUCAGUUNGNCUKCGUUUUAUGGGAGUGUGUUUGUCUUUUUAUAUUUAUUCCGCUUUUNGCAUUUUUAUUAAUGUAUAUUAGUGUCUAUAUUUUAUAAUAGCAGCUUUCAGCAUGUGCUUUUUGUUAAUUCAAGGUGGGGACAGACCAUUGNUAAUUGUUGGUCUCGUUUCAACUAGGAAUGCCUUGUACGGGUCUUUGGUUCAACAAACCACCCGGAAUACGUCCCUGCCCUUUGUACACACCGCCCGUC
rnacentral:rRNA from 1 species